AGUAGCGCUAGCAUUACGGGUGCUGUUUCCCCUUUAGAAUUUGAACUUAUCAGACCUGCUGGCUCCCCACCCCACCCCGCCACCCUCCGCUCUUUUGCUUCAGAAAUACAAGAGAAUGAGGACAUGCUUCUCAAAUCGACCUGCGUUUGGAACGCUGUCAGUUAAUGCGGAGGGAAGGGGGAGAAAGUUACUUCGCAGACAGCGAUGUCUCACCUUCCAUGCUUGUUGCCAUGGAGAUGAAGUCCAGCCAGUAGACUUAAGUGUUGGCACGUUUGUCUGCGUUCGCUGAUCAGUUCAGUAACAAUGUAGAAGGCGUGUUCUGGAACCUGCGUGGAGUCACAGGACCCUGGUUAGCGCUUUCCUGGCCUAGAAGUGUAAACGUCUGUGUCUGUCGGUGAGACAGAGGACGUGGGCGCCCGCCGAAGAGAAGGCGCCUAGGCGCUGUCCGUAGUGCUGAAAUGGUGCGUGUUGCGACCCGGCUCCCAAACACAAGCUAGAAGACAACAAAAUAACAGCCAGGAAACGCUCUGAUAAAGCCCUAGAUAGCCGCCAGGCCCAGCUCAAGGGAGCAUAACUAAGUUACAUGAUUCUGCUGAGGAUGUAUGAGCCCCACUCCAAUAAUUUAUUAUCAUGGUUGGAGACUGUGACUUAUCAUUUUAUGACUUGAAAUAUGGCUCCAUAGUGAAUGCCCAUGAAGCUGAUUUUUAAAAUCUGGAUAUUACGGAUCUAAUUCUCACCUAAUUUAAAAGGUAGAAUAGGGUUCUUGUUUCUUAGAUCAUUUGUAUGAAUGUUGAUUUGUUAUGUCAUUGACAUCAUACACACAUGCUUACAUUUUGAAGGUUGCUAGUGUUUCCCAUUAACGCUUCUGAAUUGAUGCCAAAGGAAGGCAUUGACUAUAAAUUAGGUUCCUUGGUAUUAGUUGGUGCAUGACCCUGACCCUUUUCAAGCUAUAGGAAAGAUAAUGAUGCUCUCAAAAGUCUGCAAAAUGGCUUAUUCAGGAAAGCAUAAUGGAUUAAAAAUCCAUUAGGUUUCACUUUCUUUGCUAGAUGCUGAGAUACAAAGAUAAAUGAGAUUUGGUCUCUGCCCUUGAGGAGAUAUAUGGCAAAAUAAUACGGCAAGUUCUACAAAGUUCUAUACAAACACAGAUUAAUAUGCUAUUCAUAUUUUAUUAGCCAUUGCCAAAGAAGGGAUGAAGAAUUGCAAAAAGGUAAAACAUGGAAUAAUUGUACUUCAGGUCCUUGCCAAUAUCUGCUGCCCAACUUUUCCAAAGAUUUGCUGAAAGACAUGAAAUAUAUGAAUGCCUUUCUAAAGCACAUGUAUAACACAUGAUAACCUAUACUUCUGGAGCAUCUGUGAUUUAUUUUCAGAACAAUCCAAGUUAUUAUAAAGGUAAAUAUGUGGGUGGCAUUGUUUAUAACUUCCCCAAACAGAAUUGCCUUUACUAUGCUUUGACAUUAUAGCUCUCAGCUUAUAUACAGUAAUUCUAUAUGAAACAGCUCCCAGCUUACACAAUCUGCUCUAUAUCUACUACAGAGUUGUUAUUAAAAUCUUAGUCAACAUAUAACUUACUAUUUCUUAUAUAAAGAUGCCUAAUGGAUUUAGAUUUCAUAGACAUAUCCCCAAAAGCAUUUCUUUCAAUACCAGUUUAAUGAAUUGAACUUUCAUACCUCUCCUCCUCACUUAAAUCAACCUAGGGUAAAGUGGUAUGUUCUGUUCUUACAUAGAAUGAAAAUCACAUAACUAAUUAAAGUUAGCAUUUAUUUUAGUUACCAGGGAUGUCAGAGUCAAAUUAACGCUGAAAAUGAAUAACUAUGUAAGACCUUAAGGCUUUUAUAUCUCUUUUUUUUUUUUUUUUUAUCACCUUAACUACUGCAAUUUUGAUUUCUCAGGUAAUGAUAAUAUUAUUUUCUUUUAGUUAUCUGUUUUAAUGUGUGACCUCAAGUAAAUGUCCUCAUAAAAUCAGAAGUGGAGUAAACAAAUAAAUAAAUAAAGUAAAUUUCUCUACUUUUUGAUUAUUGGGUGAGUAUAUAUGGUUGUUUUAUAAAUUUAUUUUAAAUAGGAUACUAACAUACAGAAAAAUGUGUCAUCUAAUUAGCUAUGAAGAUAAAAAUCUAAACUAUAAUGAGGAAAUAUUAAAAUGUCAAGAUGACAGAAGAAAUUUUUCAGUUUAUAUAAUUAUAGAUCAGCUUAAUUUCAAACCACUUUGUUAUGCUGUUGCUAUUUUUAUACUCUAAAUAGUGUCCCUUAUAUGACUAAGACUUUCUGUUAUCUCAGAGAUUGGAAGUGUUAAUUGUCCACCUUGUUAGAAGACAUGGUAACUAUAGGAAUUUAGAAAGCAUGAUAGCCCCACUCUAAUGAAUAUAUUUUAGAAUUAGAUUGUCACAAAGAAACUGAAAACAAGAAUUUCCUCUAAUAACUGAGCUCGGGAUUCUUUUCAGAGGAAAAUUUAGCUUGCAUAAAUUCUUGCCAUCCUGGCUCUAGUUGACUUCUUGCUGUCAACUGUUGCAAAGUGAGAUCACCUUUCCCUCUUUAACCUAUUAGGCCAACAUGUUACUUUCAACUUUUCAGGAAAAUCUACUUUUUGUUUGGCUGAGGUUUGAUUACUAUUCCUUAACCAAAAUAUUUUAAUGUGGCUGUGCUUUUUAAUUUGAAUAUUGCUAUUGAUUCAAACAUUGGAUAGCAUAUCUUUCAAAUGUGAAAUUUUAAAACAUGUAUUAAAUACAAAUAUAAAUUAGUUUUGGUAUAACUAUUUUUUAAGAUAAUCCAAUGCUUUUUUGGCUUUAGAUGAUGUUAGGUAAUUAGCUGUAUUCAAAAGUCAACUCUUUAUUUUUCAAGAAAUGAAUUCGUAUGUAUUUGAAGGCUAUUUUUUAUCUACCCAUGUCUUUUUUGUCUACAUACACAGUGUUACUCAUUGUUUUGAGGGGAGGAAUAAGAAUGAUUUUGAAAUUUCACUAAGAAAUAUAUGCCCUCUUCCUAAAAAUACAUAUAUACAGAUGUUUUGCUCACAGCUCAGGUAUUCAUGGAUCUCUGGAAGUUCAUUUUUAUAAUCCCAAGGUAAUCCAAAGAGCCUAUUGAAAAAUCUGCUGUAAAUGAAUGGUACAUGAUCUCAUUCCCUGUUUUACAACUAAGUAUUGAAUGGUUUAAACUCCUACAUUUUUUUUUUGAGAUGGAGUUUC